UUUGGGUUCUUGGUCAAGUUACUACUUUGCUGAGUUGAAGUAAGUAUUAUGAAGUCUCUAUUAGCUCGAAUGACCUGCUGAAUCCUUGUUUGCUUGAUCACUGGAUCUCGUUGUACUGUAAAACAUGGCGGCCUAUAGUUCUGACUUUAAACACCUGUUCUUUAAUCUGGGGCAGAGUUAGUAAGUGUUAUUUUGGUAGAAGAAGGAUAUUAUUGUGUUACAUGGUCUGUAACUACUAGCUUUCCACUGCAGUUUUAUAAAAUAGAAAUAUAUCCAUUUUUUAGUUUAUUUACGGUCUGUUUUGUAAACGCCUUUUCUGGAAAACUAUACUAUUUGAAGAGGGUAUGAAUAUGAAACCAAUGAAGCUAAAUUGUCUGUUGUUUCUUGUACUGACUCUUUUCAGAAGAAAUAUAGAUUUUUAUGAAGUUUUUGAUAAUUAUUGAUUUUGCCACCAUUUUGGUUGCUAAGCGUAUCUAGGAAAAACGUCA